ensembl:lncRNA
GAUAAACCGAAUUUAGAGAGCUGGAACCGAAGUGUGUUCCUCACAGUUCAAGAUCUAGCAGAUACACCUCCAGUUCCUGAAGACCAAACAUCUGUCAAUUCUCCAUCAUGUUCACCAUCCUUCUUAUCAUAUCAGUGUUUUACCAAGGCCAGGCUGUGAAAGACUUCGGUAAAGACUUCGUUACAGCCUUUCCAGAGAACAUCGCCUACUACUACCCUUCCACUCUCUUCAACACCCUCAAAAUCACCGCCCUCCACAACAACACCAACUUUAACGUCAUCUUCAAUGGCGCAAGAAUUGAAACCGGGACCCUGAUGGCAGGACAAACCAAGACUGUGUAUCUUCCUGACGAAGUGGAGGAGCACCAACUCGGACUCUCCACAAAAUCUGUCAGAAUUUCCAGCGACAACGACGUCACCGUGUUUUCCAAAAGUUUGAGGGGUAGCAGCAUCCAGACCAACGUCGUUCAACCUGUGACCAACCUCGGCGAAGUCUAUCAAAUCCCUUUCGUCAAUUUUACCGAGCUUAUUUUAUUGUUAAACGACUACAACGUCUCAACCGCCAGAACGUCUCAAACCCAGAAUUACAACCUUUUCAGGGUUCUCAUCAUCAAUGCUGAAGAUAAGGACAACACGGUGAAGGUCACCAAUCAACAAAGCGGCUCAGAAACGAGCUUCAAGCUAAGCGCCUUCCAGUUCGUCCAGAUGAGCGGCAGCGAAUCUGCGAUGAAGAUCUCCGCUGGCGCUUAUGUUUCCGUCCUGCUCACCCACCCUUGUUUGGACACUUCCUUCUGCAAAUGCACAAUGGUUGUCCACCAGCUAAGACCUGCAAACCUCCUGGGAGACCAUUUCCUCGUACCUUCCUUUCAAAUUGGCGAAUAUUCCAGAAUGUUCUCGACUUCAGACCAGUCCGUCAACUUUGAAUACGGUUCUUCACCAAAUAACGGCUCUCAAACGUUGAAUCCUGGCAGCUCAGACUUCCUAUCCUUCUACCAGCAUCUAACGGUGGGGUUCUCCAACAUCACAACCUCCCAGCCGGUGUCCCUCAAGCUCAUGGGCGUCGGUAGUUUGGUAGAUCUCAUCCCCGUCUCCAUGUUCUCAGCCUGCUACCUCGUACACUCCUCCUCGUUCGCCGUAUCCCAGGCUUUGCUCAUCGUUGAAACGACACAAGUGUCAGAAACGUACAUAGACAAGACCAACUCUGGCUCAUCGAUGACGUGGAAUGCCAUAAACGGUACCGAGUACUCCUGGGCCGUGGUGGAUCUUUACCUUCUGAUGUCUCAGGUCAUCUGGCAUCCCUCUUCAAAGAUGGCGGUGUACGUAUUCGAGCGAAUGGCGUCAACGCUGUUCGAUUACGGUGGUCCGGCUAUCUCCAUCAAUGAAGAACCAGACCCCAGAGGCUGCUUGGUUUCUCAGGCGAUGUUGGAGGUCAGUGAUCAGUCGGUUAGCUGGCCGGCGUCUUGUCAGUACUGUAAGCUGAAGGGUGGUUACCUGGCCAGUCCCAGCUGGGCUGAAGCUCAGCGUUACAUGAUCCAAGAACUGGAGGAAGUCGGAGCGACUGGUCAGGCGUGGAUUGGCCUCCGGCGUAGCCUGUUGACCUCCGAGUGGUACUGGCAGACCGGUCAGAACUUCAGCUUCUCCAACUGGGCCAGCGGCCAACCGGUUAGUCCCGAGAAAGGCAUGUGUGUUUUCGUAAAGCUGGAACCAAACGGUAACUACACCUGGAACAGUGCGCGGUGCUGCACCUCCAUGAAACCCAUGUGCUUCAAAGAACCCAACUACCUGCAUCUCCUCAACCCCAUUUCCUGAAUGCUAAUGCUAACAUCAUAUCUGCUAAUGCUAACAUUAAAUUAGCUAAUGCUAACAUCGUAUCUGCUAAUGCUAACAUUAAAUUAGCUAAUGCUAACAUGAUAUCUGUUAAUGCUAACAUGAUAUCUUUUAAUGCUAACAUCAUAUCUGCUAAUGCUUACAUUACAUCUGCUUAUACUUACAUUACAUCUGCUAAUGCUUACACCAUAUCUGCUAAUGCUUACAUCAUACCUGCUAAUGCUAUCAUCAUAUCUGCUAAUGCUUACACCAUAUCUGCUAAUGCUUGCAUUUCUAUUAAUUCUAACAUCACAUCUGCUAAUCCUAACAUUACAUCCAUUAAUGCUUACAUCACAUGUGCUAAUGCUUACAUUACAUCUGCUAAUGCUAACAUCAGAUUUGCUAAUGCUAGCAUCAUAUCUGCUAAUACUUACAUUGCAUCUGCUAAUGCUAACAUCAGAUUUGCUAAUGCUUACAUCACAUCUGCUAAUACUUACAUUACAUCUGCUAAUGCUUACAUCACACAUGCUAAUGCUAACUUUGCAUCUACAAAUGCUAACAUUAAAUUUGCCAGUGCUUACAUGAAAUCUGCUAAUGUUAACAUCAUGUCUACUUAUGCUAAUGUCACAUCACCUAAUGCUAACAUUACAUCUAAAAAUGCUAACAUCAUAUCUGCUAAUGCUAACUUCACUUAUGCUUACAUCACAUCACCUAAUGCUAACAUCACAUCUAAAAUGCUAACGUCACAUCUGCUAAUGAUUACAUCAUAUCUGCUAAUGAUUACAUCACAUCUGCUAAUGAUUACAUCACAUCUGCUAAUGCUAACAUUACAUCUAAAAAUGCUAACAUCAUAUCUGCUAAUGCUAACUUCACUUCCGCUUAUGCUAUCAUCACGUCUGCUAAUGCUAACUUCACAUCUGCUAAUGCUAACAUACACAAUAAUAUAAACAGCAUAAAUAACUGUCUUCAUUCUGUUAUUCGUAUUGAACUUUAUAAUUUACUU